AUGCAAUACCGCCCUCUGCAUCUCCGCCGGCAAAGCACCUCCACGCCGACCGAUCUCCUCCACGAGCAGCUUUGCUGCCGACGAAAAUCGUUUUUCGCCUCUUUUCGCGGAGCACCAUCGCCGCCGGAUUUCAGCCGCACAACUUCCGAUGGGACUCCCUCCGUCCAGAUCCACGGCGGCUUCGCCGUAUCUAUGUUGAACGACCCAUUCUCCAUCGAGAAGUUCUUUCCCGACUUUACAUCCCUUCUUUCAACUACUUAUUUAUUCUGUUCUCACUUAUGUUGUAUUGGUAAUAGUUGUUUAAUUGAUUGCUAG